rnacentral:rRNA from 1 species
CGGACGGGUGAGUAAUGUAUGGGGAUCUGCCUGAUGGCGGGGGAUAACUACUGGAAACGGUAGCUAAUACCGCAUAACGUCGCAAGACCAAAGAGGGGGACCUUCGGGCCUCUUGCCAUCGGAUGUGCCCAGAUGGGAUUAGCUAGUAGGUGGGGUAAAGGCUCACCUAGGCGACGAUCCCUAGCUGGUCUGAGAGGAUGACCAGCCACACUGGAACUGAGACACGGUCCAG